rnacentral:rRNA from 1 species
UACAGAGGGUGCAAGCGUUAAUCGGAAUUACUGGGCGUAAAGGGUGCGUAGGUGGUUGAAUAAGUUAGGUGUGAAAGCCCCGGGCUUAACCUGGGAAUGGCGCCUAAUACUGUUUAGCUAGAGUACUGUAGAGGAAGGUGGAAUUUCCGGUGUAGCGGUGAAAUGCGCAGAUAUCAGGAGGAACACCGGUGGCGAAGGCGGGUCUCUGGGCCGAUACUGACGCUGAGGAGCGAAAGCGUGGGGAGCGAACAGG